GAUGAACGCUGGCGGCGUGCCUAAUACAUGCCAGUCGAGCGAACAGAUGAGGAGCUUGCUCCUCUGACGUUAGCGGCGGACGGGUGAGUAACACGUGGAUAACCUACCUAUAAGACUGGGAUAACUUCGGGAAACCGGAGCUAAUACCGGAUAAUAUAUUGAACCGCAUGGUUCAAUAGUGAAAGACGGUUUUGCUGUCCCUUAUAGAUGGAUCCGCGCCGCAUUAGCUAGUUGGUAAGGUAACGGCUUACCAAGGCAACGAUGCGUACCCGACCUGAGAGGGUGAUCAGCCACACUGGAACUGAGACACGGUCCAGACUCCUACGGGAGGCAGCAGUAGGGAAUCUUCCGCAAUGGGCGAAAGCCUGACGGAGCAACGCCGCGUGAGUGAUGAAGGUCUUCGGAUCGUAAAACUCUGUUAUUAGGGAAGAACAAAUGUGUAAGUAACUAUGCACGUCUUGACGGUACCUAAUCAGAAAGCCACGGCUAACUACGUG
rnacentral:rRNA from 1 species